GACGGGGGGGGGCAAGUGUUCUUCGGAAUGACUGGGCGUAAAGGGCACGUAGGCGGUGAAUCGGGUUGAAAGUGAAAGUCGCCAAAAAGUGGCGGAAUGCUCUCGAAACCAAUUCACUUGAGUGAGACAGAGGAGAGUGGAAUUUCGUGUGUAGGGGUGAAAUCCGUAAAUAUACGAAGGAACGCCAAAAGCGAAGGACAGCU
rnacentral:rRNA from 1 species